UGUCCUCUAUUGCCUCUGUAUGUAUGAAAUAAUGUUUAUCAUUAAUUUUGUUGAUUAAUAUUGUCAUUCGUACAUGAUUACCUUAUUGAAAGGAAAAAGCGCAAUAAAGAAAAGCAUUGAAAAUGCAUUUUAUUUAUAGGCUAUAAUGAAAACGUUCAAGAAUAAAUUUUUCUUAUAGAAUUAUAAAGUGUUAUUUCACAUAAACAUAGUAUUAAUAAAUAUCUAAGGACUUUUCAGGUAAUUUUGAUUAAUUAUAUUCAGCCUUGUGCCUGUAUGCACUGAAAACAGCGUCUUUUACAGUCAUCAGCUACAAGAAGUUAAAGGAGGUCACCAUGGAAAUACCAUGCAUGGAUGUUGCAAACGACAGCCGAGUAUUGUCUGAAGUAUUCCUUUCCCUAGGGGGAGCAAUGUUUGUGGCAACUAUUCUGAUUUGGAUAUUUAUUAUUUGUAAUGAGAAAAAGAAGCUUCGCUUGAAAGCCAGGAAAAAGAGCGCAUCAAGAAAAACACAUCGCUUGUCACAAAUCACAAAAACUGGACUUCAAGGAACACCACGUAGAGCAUGGCGGACUCAAACUUUUUCCAUUGAAUCUGAAUCCACGACGCCCGUCCGGAUACCCAGACCAGUACUAGUAGUUUAGGAUGGACUAGGUUUUGAUAUUUGAUACGUGCAGUGAAAACGAUUACUUUGAUAGAAAAUAUACUGUUCACAAUGGCUCCAAUGCAACUUUAGGAAAUGACUCUUUAUAACAUCUUACCAAAGAAGUGAAAUGUACAUAUACAGUCAAUUUAUUCGUGAAAUGGUAGAACAAAUUCAUAAUCUUCUUUCACCACGACAAUCAUCCCAAAUGUCACCAUUCCACCAAAUAUACUCAUUUUUUAUUAUUAACAACAGUAUCAAGUUAAUUUUAAUCAAUAUCAAUCACCACCACAUAUUAUUAUCAUCACCAUCAGAAUCAACUUAAGAGCCAUCACAGACUCAUCAUCGCCGUCAUUAUCAUCACCAUCAACAACAACAACAACAACAUCCUAGUCAUCUCCAGAGUGUAUACUGACUCAUAAUUAUCAUCAUUAUCAUCAUCAUCGCAAUCAUCAUAAUCACCACCCGACUCAUUUCCAGAGCUAUUACAGUCUCAUCAUCAUCAUAUUCAACAAUAACAACAUCAUCAUCAUCAUCAUUGUAAAUAUAAUUAUCAGCAGCAGUGACAACAAAUAAUCCAGACCAUUAUGUUCAAAAUUACCUGUAGAAUCAUCUGUAUUAAUAAACUUUAAAUACAUAUAAUAUUUGGCAAGAAUUAUCAAUGUAUCUUGUUAAACUGACUGUAUAUCAUCGUUUAACAAUGUACACCCUUACUAUUACUUAUCACUUACACAUUAAUUACUUUGUCAUAAACAAUUAACUGUAUGUAUAUAAUAUUUUACCUAACAAUGGACUAAAAUUAUCAAAUUUGAUGAUAACUAUCAACUAUAUCUACAAUAACUUAAAUGGAGGAAGUUUUUUUUAACAUAACAAAAACUUCAACUGUAUAUGGAUGGAAUUCAUCCGACGGAGCAACACUAACUAUGCCGAACUGUGUCAGUGACAGUACAUUCAAAGCGUCCAUCGCUUUCUUCGCAGUCGGUACUGCACUUUUCCUCGGGACUGCCAUCUUUUGGAUCAUACGCUUUUGCAAAGCUAGGCACAGAAAGAUAAAAGCUGUAAAGAGACCCUUGCCAUUAACGCCGCCGACAAUGACAUUCGAAGUGCAGGCGUCUGGCGAAUACCUAGAUCUCCAGGAAAGCAUUUAUAAGUAAGUAACAUUAUAUACUUACAGGCCUUUAUCACAUUUGAUGUGGGAAUAUAUAUCAGAACCAUAUUUUAAUACAUGUAAACAAUACGAACUGGUUAUAUGCCUGUGGAAUAAUUUCAGGAGUGUGUAGCUCGGGUGAAUUAUCAUAUGCGGAGCCUAACCGAUUUAGUGUGUUUAAAUAUAUUAAAACAUGGUCCUGUAACACGUCCCUUGGAAUAACAUGACUAUUCUGCUCACAUAAUGAUGGAUUCAGACUGAGUGAAUUGUUAUAUCAUUUGGAUUAUGAAUCACAUUUUACCCAAAAUAGUAGAUCGAAUGUUGGAGCUUGUUGUGUUUAAUAAAAUGUUGUUUUUUCACAUAUUAGAAUUUUUGUUGUCACAUAAUUUUUCCAAGAUCCAUGCAAAAAGCUAUACAAAUAAAUUUGUAAAUGUAUUUUAUUCUUCUCUGAUCCAUAUAAAUACCCUAUCGAAUGUGUGACGUCAUUUGAGGCGCAUUUUAAUAUUUGUAUUGUUGCGUUAGAAGUUCAUUCAUUCACAGCUUUUUAAUUUUACUUAGGCUUAAGGACACAGCUAGAUUCUAUAACAUUUAUAUAAUAUAAAAAAAUAUAAAAAGAUAAUCAGUUUUGCAUCGAGAAAUAUGUACUCGUUCUUUCACGGAACGAUGUCGCGCAAUAUUUCGGCUACGGAACUCCUCCAUAUUUAUGGAUACAAAGCUAAUAAACUAUAGAUACACGUGUUACACUUUGAAAUUGACGUUGUUACGACUAAAGAAGACAGUGGUUGAACAGAGUUUGACUAAUAGGUAAACAAACAAAAAAAAAUCGACGUCGAUAACACAAGAUAAAAAGAAUCUAUUUUGUUAUGCCACAUUGAAUUUAUUAAAGUCAUGAAAUAAAAAUGAUUUAUCAUUUUAAGACAUUUUGUUUUCAAACCUUGAACACAAGUCACUUUCCUUUCAAACAGUUUAGAUCAUGUAUAACAAUGACAGGAGAAAAAUACUUUUUACAGGUUUGCAGACUUAAAUUACACACGUUUAAUUCUAUUUCUAGUUACGACUCCAUUAACGUUACCCCCGAUGUAAAAGAAACAAAACUUCUACACUACAUACCACGUGAUGCCAUGCACGAGACAUUUGACGGCUCUCGAAUGCCUCCCACGGAAGCUCCGAAACCUCCAAACCACGAGCCGAAAAUUAUUGAUAAAGACCAUGACAAAAGGAAAGAACUAGAGUGUAUCCCUGAUGUAAAACAAAAAGAAAAUCUGCACGAUGUACCACGUGACGCCAUGCACGAGACAUUUGACGGCUCUAGGAUGCCUACCACAGAGGCUCCGAAACCUCCAAACCACGAGCCAAAAAUUAUUGAUAAAGACUAUGACAAAAGGAAAGAACUAGAGUGUACCCCUGAUGUAAAACAAAAAGAAAAUCUGCACGAUGUACCACGUGACGCCAUGCACGAGACAUUUGACGGCUCUAGGAUGCCUACCACAGAGGCUCCGAAACCUCCAGACCAAGGCCAGAAAAAAUUCGAAGACCACAACAAAAAGAAAGAACUAGAAUGUACUUAUGAAAUGGCUGAUGCAUCAAAACCAAAUCGAGACAGGCCACCUACAAUUCCAGCUCGAAGACCAUUCAGAAAAUGAAAGACUGUAAUAGUGUUGAUGGAAGAGGGUCCAACGCACUUUUUUCAAGUUGAUAAAUUGGAAUUCAACACUGACUCAAAAGCGUGAAUCAUUGUUCCAAAGUGUUCCUCAUAUACCUCAUGAAAUACAUCAGGCAUUUAGUUCCUCAUGAAAUAUGUUCAGACAUGUAUGUUGCUCAUGCACUAUGUUCAGACAUCUAUAUUCCUCAUGAAAUGCAUUAAGCAUGUAUAUUGCUCAUGAAAUAUGUUCAGACAUCUAUUCCUCAUGAAAUGCAUUAAGCAUGUACGUUGCUCAUGAAACAUGUUUAGACAUCUGUUUUCUUCAUGAAAUGUUGCUCAUGAAACAUGUUCAGACAUCUGUAUUCCUCAUGAAAUGCAUUAAGCAUGUAUACUGCUCAUGAAAUAUGUUAAGACAUCUGUAUUCUUCAUGAAAUGCAUUAAGCAUGUAUGUCACUCAUGAAACAUGUUCAGACAUCUGUAUUCCUCAUGAAAUGCAUUAAGCAUGUAUACUGCUCAUGAAACAUGUUAAGACAUCUGUAUUCUUCAUGAAAUGCAUUAAGCAUGUAUGUCGCUCAUGAAACAUGUUCAGACAUCUGUAUUCCUCAUGAAAUGCAUUAAGCAUGUAUGUCGCUCAUGAAACAUGUUCAUACAUCUGUAUUCCUCUUGAGUGCAUUAAGCAUGUAUAUUGCUCAUGAAAUAUGUUAAGACAUCUGUAUUCUUCAUGAAAUGCAUUAAGCAUGUAUGUCGCUCAUGAAACAUGUUCAGACAUCUGUAUUCCUCAUGAAAUGCAUUAAGCAUGUAUACUUCUCAUGAAUUAUGUUUAGACAUUUAUAUUCCUCACGAAAUACAUAAACUCAUGUCUUAACCACAAAAUAUGUUACACAUAAAUGUUCUGUAUGAAAUGCACAAAGCAAAUAUGUUACUCAUGAAAUACAUAUGGCAGUUAUAUUCCUCAUGAAAGGCAUUCAACAUGUACAUUACAGAUUAAAUAGAUUAGACAUUUUAUCUCUCAUGAAAUGCAUCCUACAUGUAUGCUGCUUAUUAAAUAAUAAGACAUUUAUAUUCUUCAUGAAAUGCAUUAUACAUCUGUGAAAAAAGUAUUUUGAUGUUCAUUAAUUUGUAUGUAUUUAUAGCUUUUCAAAAUGGAACUUCAAAUAAAACAACGCUGCUGUUA